rnacentral:rRNA from 1 species
GUGCCAGCAGCCGCGGUAAUACGUAGGUGGCAAGCGUUAUCCGGAAUUAUUGGGCGUAAAGCGCGCGUAGGCGGUUUUUUAAGUCUGAUGUGAAAGCCCACGGCUCAACCGUGGAGGGUCAUUGGAAACUGGAAAACUUGAGUGCAGAAGAGGAAAGUGGAAUUCCAUGUGUAGCGGUGAAAUGCGCAGAGAUAUGGAGGAACACCAGUGGCGAAGGCGACUUUCUGGUCUGUAACUGACGCUGAUGUGCGAAAGCGUGGGGAUCAAACAGGAUUAGAUA